rnacentral:rRNA from 1 species
UACGUAGGGUGCAAGCGUUGUCCGGAAUUAUUGGGCGUAAAGAGCUCGUAGGCGGUCUGUCACGUCGGACGUGAAAAUCCAGGGCUCAACCCGGGAACUGCGUCCGAUACUGGAAGGCUUGAAUCCGGGAGAGGGAUGCGGAAUUCCAGGUGUAGCGGUGAAAUGCGUAGAUAUCUGGAGGAACACCGAUGGCGAAGGCAAUCCCCUGGGCCUGCACUGACGCUCAUGCACGAAAGCGUGGGGAGCAAACAGG